rnacentral:lncRNA from 1 species
GCCUGAGCAGUCUAAAAGGGUUUCGCCAUUUGAAUCCAAUUAAUGGCAGGACUUCUCAACAGAAAUAAGGACGCAACAAAGCAACUGGAACAAUCAAGGUCACCGAACCAACCACCAUUUUCGAGAUAACAAUUGUUCUUUGUUUGAGAAGUUGAAACAGGUUUAAUCCAAGAUAACCGUGCAAGAAGCAGGUGUCACCCAAAGAAGAAAGUACAUGAGUACAAGAAACAGUUCGGCAAUAAGGAAUCCACUCGAAAGGUAAGUUUCCACGAAAUUCUCUUUUACCUUUUACUAAAACAAGAAAAUUCAAAAAAGGGGUGUCAGUUAGUAUCCUCGAACUUUCCCUUUAGUCAGCAUUAGGGCUCCAACCCUGAACUGAACUUUUUCCAUUUAGUCAGCAUUAGGGCUCCGACCCUAAACUGAACAUUCCCUUUAAGUCAGCAUUAGGGUUUUAAACCCUAAACUGAACUUUUUCUAUUUAGUCAGCAUUAGGGUUUUAAACCCUAAACUGAACUCUUCCCUUUAGUCAGCAUUAGGGUUUUAAACCCUAAACUGAACUUUUUCCCUUUUAGUCAGCAUUAGGGUUCUAAAACCCUAA